GCCCAGCCAGUAUGGUGGAUAUGACAAUCGGCUUGUAACUGAGUGUGUUCGGGUUCGAAUCCCGAGUAAGGUA
rnacentral:tRNA from 1 species